rnacentral:rRNA from 1 species
CGCCAGACUCCUACGGGAGGCAGCAGUGGGGAAUAUUGCACAAUGGGGGAAACCCUGAUGCAGCGACGCCGCGUGAGUGAAGAAGUAUUUCGGUAUGUAAAGCUCUAUCAGCAGGGAAGAAGCAAGACGGUACCUGACUAAGAAGCCCCGGCUAACUACGUGCCAGCAGCCGCGGUAAUACGUAGGGGGCAAGCGUUAUCCGGAUUUACUGGGUGUAAAGGGAGCGUAGACGGUAUGGCAAGUCUGAAGUGAAAGCCCAGGGCUUAACCCUGGGACUGCUUUGGAAACUGUUAGACUAGAGUGCUGGAGAGGUAAGUGGAAUUCCUAGUGUAGCGGUGAAAUGCGUAGAUAUUAGGAGGAACACCAGUGGCGAAGGCGGCUUACUGGACAGUAAC